ACUACUCUAGCUCCUAUAGCUCAGCCUGAUUUGCUUGCAUCCUUUUUGUAAGUUUAUCUUUAUGUGCUUUUGUGUGUGUGUGUAUAUAUAUAUAUAUUAUAAUUCCAAUAUAGUCUGUUGGGGCAUCUUUACUUUGUUGAUUUCCACUUCAUCAUGGACUUCAGAUGUCAGCCUCGUUCUCUUUAGUGUCAUGAUCUUGGUUAUAAUUUUCACUUUCGAUGUUAAGUUGAAUAAAUCAUAGCCAUCCUUUGUUUCCGCCCUCGUCUCUUCUCUAAGCGCGUCCAUGGUGGCGAUGCACUCUCCAACUCAAGUGUUCCGGUUCUUCUUAUGAUGGUUUUCAAAAUAGAUAUUCUUAAACUGACAGAGCAGUCCCUUUUUUUUUAUUUGCAUGCCACAAUAUUUAUUUUACGCAUAUUUUAUUGAUUUCUAUUGUUGUUUUCUUUUAGACUCACUCAAUCCACCGCGUAUCAUUUCCUCUCAGUGGCUCUCACGGUUGUUUUUCUGUUCUUGCCGUUUAUAUCCGAGCACCGAUUUUUCUACUUUGUAGGUUCCGCUAAUUUCACCAGGCGCAUGUGACUGCUUAGAAGUUUAGCUAACGACAUGAUAGAAAUGAACUAGGGUUUCAUGUAAUAAUAUUUGAACUCAUUUUAUUUUUGUAGAUGAAAUUACUUUCGGGUAUUGAUUUCCAUAGCUUCACAAUCUGGUUGUUGAGGAUGAUCUCAGUUCCCAAUGUACUCGUUCCCUUGAAGCUAGAUUGAUUGUUGUAUUUUGGACAGUAAUCACAUUUAUGUGAUCCACGGUGAUAACUAUUGAUCCUUGACCUGUAAUGAGUUUUGUGGACAUGAUCACAGAAUUUAAGAACAUCUAAGGGACUGAGUUGUACCUUGUUCAGCUAGUUCUUUGAUUUUGAAUUUCAGCUUUGUAAUUGAACUUCUAUAUGAAGAGCCAUUGAAUUUUCCAACAGGGAAGUAUAUCUUCCUAUAGUUCUGAUGUUAUCAUCUAUACAUUUUAUGCUAUUAUUGCUUCUGAGAUCUACUAAUGCUAAAUCUGUGCUUCUCCAGUUCAACCAUAACUGAAUAAGACAAUACUGAAAAAAAUUGUUUUGUUGAUACCUUGGUGCAAUUAGAUCAAUUGUUUCAGUGGUGUUGCUUGAUCAAAGAGGCUAGCAUAAGCUAAAGUUUGACGUGUUUGAGAUGAAAUUACUUUCGGGUAUUGAUUUCCAUAGCUUCACAAUCUGGUUGUUGAGGAUGAUCUCAGUUCCCAAUGUACUCGUUCCCUUGAAGCUAGAUUGAUCGUUGUAUUUUGGACAGUAACCACAUUUAUGUGAUUCACGGUGAUAACUAUUGAUCCUUGACCUGUAAUGAGUUUUGCGGACAUGAUCGCAGAAUUUAAGAACAUCUAAGGGACUGAGUUGUACCAUGUUCAGCUAGUUCUUUGAUUUUGAACUUCCAUCUGAAGAGGCAUUGAAUAUUACAACAGGGAAGCAUCACUUCCUAUAGUUCUGAUGUUAUCCUCUAUACAUUUUAUGCUAUUAUUUGCUUCUGCGAUCUACUAAUGUUAAAUCUAUGCGUCUCCCGUCAUCAUAACUGAAUAAGACAAUACUGAAAAAAUUUGUUUUGUUAAUACCUUUGGCACAAUUAGAUCAAUUGUCUCAGUGGUGUUGAUUGAUCAAAGAGGCUAGCAUGAGCUAUAGUAUGACAUGUUUGAGGUGCGCAAAAUUGUUAUAAAGAUCAGCUGUUUGCAGCAUAUAAUACAUCAUUUGAGCAAUGAACAAAUAAAUAGAUUUCCAGUAUUAAUCUAUUUAGUAGAUUUAAUUAUCGGUUGUUAUAGGACUUUGAACCUAUAGAUACCCAUAUUAUUGUAAUUUUUAAGGAGGAGCAUAAAGUUUAGUUAGUUUUUCUCAAUGAAAGGUUAUGCUUUUGCUUCCAGUUUUAGUUCCUGAUCUAUCAUUGAGCUUUGCAGAAUUUAUUUUUAUUCCUAUGAUUGUUGCUAUUGUUUUUCUGUAGGAUUGAAUAGUGCGAAGCUAAAAAAUAGGCUCCCUUCGCUUUCCAGUACAGAUACUUCUUAGUCUGCAUUGGACGUUGGGGAGUAACAUUGUUUGUAUAUGAAAUGUGUAGUAUAUCAGUAUUAAGGAUUUAUGUAUAAAUUUUUUAAAAUAUGUAUAAAUUUAUUGCCACUUUUUUAUAUUAAAUAAUUUUUUUUAUUCUUUUUCUUAUAUAUUUUCUCAUUUAUUGUAUUAAAUGGUUUGAAUCAUAAGGAUUUUCUCUUUUCAUGAUAAAUAAAUUGGCUCUUGGCUCCUAAGCUAGCCAGAAUUUGUAGAAUAAAACCUCUAGGACUGAUUAAUUAGUGAGAUUUAUGGUCAACCUGUGUUACUCUAACUCAACCUUAUUUGCUUGCAUCCUUUUAGUAAGCAUAUCUUUAUGUGUAUGUAUGGGUAUAUAUAUAAAAAAUUAUUACAGAUUUCCAAUAUAGUUCGUUGGGGCAUCUGAGUGCCUUUACUUUGUUGAUUACCACUUCAUCAUGGACUUCAGAUGUCAGCCUCCUUUUUCUUAGUGUCAUCAUCUUGGUUAUAAUUUUCACCGUCAAUGUUAAGCUGAAUAAAUCAUAGCCAUCCUUUGUUUCUGCCCUAAUAUCUUUCCUAAACCCGUCCGUGUUGGCGAUGCAUUCUCUAGCUCAAGAGUUCCGGAUCUUAUUAUAGUUUUCAAAACAGAUGUUCUUAAACUGACUGUGCGGUCCCUUAUUUUUUAUUUGCAUGCCACAAUUUGGUGUUUUCUUUCAGACUCGCUCAAUCCACCGCAUAUCAUUUCCUCUCAGUGGCUCUCACGGUAGUUUUUCUGUUCUUGCGGCUUAAUAUCCGAGCACCAAUUUUUCUGGUUUGUAUGUUCCGCUGAUUUCUUCGGGUGCAUGUGGUUGUUUGGAAUUUCAGCUAAUACCAUGAUAGAAAUGAACUAGGGUUUCAUGUAAUUCUAUUUGAACUCGUUUUAUUUUCGUAGAUGAAAUGACUUUCGGGUAUUGAUUUUCCAUAGCUUCACAAUCUGGUCGUUGAGGAUGAUCUCAGUUCCCAAUGUACUCGUUCCCUUGAAGCUAGAUUGAUUGUUGUAUUUUGGACAGUAAUCGCUUUUAUGUGAUCCAUGGUGAUAACUAUUGAUCCUCGGAUUGAAAAGUGCGAAGCUAGAAAAUAGGCUCCCCUCGCUAUCCAGUACAGAUACUUCUUACUCUGCAUUGGACGUUGGGGAGCUACAUUGUUUUAUAAGAAAUAUAUUGUGUACCAGUAUUAAGGAUUUAUGCAUAAAAUUGUUAAAAUAUGUAUAAAUUUAUUGCCACGUUCUUAUAUUUAAUAAAUUUUUAUUCUUUUUCUUAUAUAUUUUUCUCAUUUACUGUAUUAAUUGUUUGAAUUAUAAAUAUUUUCUCUUUCAUGAUAAAUAAAUUGGCUCUUGGCUCCUGAGUUAGCCAGAAUUUGUAGAAUAAAACCUCUAGGACUGAUUAAUUAAUGAAGAUUAUGGUCAGCCUGAGUUACUCUAGCUCAGCCUGAUUUGCUUUCAUCUUUUUUGUAGGCUUAUCUUUAUGUGUAUGCAUGCAUGCAUGUAUGUAUGUAUAAUUCCAAUGUUGUUUGUUGGGUUCUACUUUGUUGAUUUCCACUUCAUCAUGGACUUCAGAUGUCGGCCUCAUCGCUUUUAGUAUCAUCAUCUUGGUUAUAAUUUUCACCGUCGAUGUUAGGCUGAAUAAAUCAUAGCCAUCCUUUGUUUCCGCCCUUGUCUCUUCCCUAAGCGUGUCCGUGGUGGCGAUGCACUCUCCAGCUCCAGUGUUCCGGUUCUUCUUAUGAUGGUUUCAAAAUAGAUGUUCUUAAACUGACAGUGCAUUCCCUUAAAUUUAUUGCAUGCCACAAUAUUUAUUUUAUGCGUUUUUUUAUCGAUUUCUGUUGUUGUUUUCUCUCAGACUCGCUUAAUCCAUUGCAUAUCGUUUCCUCUCAGUGGUCUCACUGUUAUUUUUCUGUUCUUGAUGCUUAUAUCCGAGCACCAAUUUUUCUGCAUUGUAGGUUCCGCUGAUUUCAGCAAGUGCAUGUGGUUGUUUGAAAUUUCAGCUUAACACCAUGAUAGAAAUGAAUUAGGGUUUCAUGUAAUCAUAUUUGAACUCAUUUUAUUUUUGCAGAUGAAAUGACUUUCGGGCAUUGCUUUCCAUAGCUUCACAAUCUGGUCGUUGAGGAUGAUCUCAGUUCCCAAUGUACUCGUUCCCUUGAAGCUAGAUUGAUUGUUGUAUUUUGGACAAUAAUCACAUUUAUGUGAUCCACGGUGAUAACUAUUGAUCCUCGACCUGUAAUGAGUUUUGCGGACAUGAUCGCAGAAUUUAAGAACAUCUAAGGGACUGAGUUGUGCCUUGUUCUGCUAGUUUUUCUGCUUUGUAAUCGAACUUCCAUGUGAAGAGCCAUUGAAUUUUCCAACAGGGAAUCAUCUCUUCCUAUAGUUCUGAUGUUAUCCUCUACACAUUUUAUGCUAUUAUUCUGCGAUCUACUAAUUUUAAAUUUGUGCGUCUCCCGUUCAACAUUGGUGCAAUUAGAUCAAUUGUUUCAGUGGUGUUGAUUGAUCAAAGAGGCUAGCAUGAGCUAAAGUCUGAUGUGUUUCAGGGUUGAAAAGUGCGAAGCUAGAAAAUAGGCUCCCCUCGCUAUCCAGUACAGAUACUUCUUACUCUGCAUUGGACGUUGGGGAGCUACAUUGUUUGUUGGAUCAUUGGUGAAAAGACUAUUUUCAUCUGUUUCUUUUGAUAUUUUUGGUAGACCUGUCAAUAUUGGAUCCGA